AAUGAACGCUGGCGGCGCGCCUAAUACAUGCAAGUCGAGCGAGAAGACGUAGCAAUACGUUUGUAAAGCGGCGAACGGGUGAGGAAUACAUGGGUAACCUACCCUCGAGUGGGGAAUAACUAGCCGAAGGUUAGCUAAUACCGCGUACGCUCCUUGGACUUCGGUUCAGGGAGGAAAGCGAUACCGUGGGUAUCGCGCUCUUGGUUGGGCUCAUGUCCUAUCAGCUUGUUGGUGAGGUAACGGCUCACCAAGGCUAAGACGGGUAGGCUGAUCUGAGAGGAUGAUCAGCCACACUGGAACUGAGACACGGCCCAGACUCCUACGGGAGGCAGCAGUGGGGAAUAUUGGACAAUGGGCGCAAGCCUGAUCCAGCCAUGCCGCGUGGAUGAAGAAGGCCC
rnacentral:rRNA from 1 species